ACGAUGGAGAUGAGCGGCACCCGCGGGCGGUCGCUGAAGACCUCGGCCUGCUGCACCAGCGCCUCGCGCACGCUGUGGAAGUCGCUGAGGACCACCACCAGGUAGUGGCCGAUAAAGAAGCUGAAGAUGCUGCCGUACACGCGGGCUAGAGCCCCCAGCUAUCAAUACAUUACAGCAGGAUGAGAAAGACCCAGGCCUUUGACAUCCCAGGCUUUGACAGGCCCAGGCUUGACAGUGUCUUGGCACAAUGUUGUGGGAAGAAUAAGCACAAUGAAGAGGUGCCUCAGGAAGGUAUUUUCAACAACAAACCUUCAACACCAUGAACUGCUACUUCUAACGGAGGUCCGAAGCACUAACACAGCCAUUUCCUGUCUCUCUUUAGCAGCCUUGCCUAAUCCACUUACAGCAUCUUGCCAAAUCAUCAUCCAAAUUCCCUUCAACUUUACUCUUCCAUAUGUGCUCCUAGUCUUAUGUUCAUGUGGGAAAGAAGCUUGUGAUUUUGAAACUCCAUUUCACAGUGGAUGUACAGAUGGUCUUUAUAAGGUAGCUACUCGGUUCUAGAACACAGAAUGUGGAACAGAAGAAAAUCCAAUUAGUAACCUUUUUUCUUUUUUUUUUCCAAGAGGACACACUCAGCCACCCACCUCAUGGGACUGCUAUGAGAAUGACUGAAAUAAUUAAUUGUGAAGAGCUUUGUGCCCCUGGGAGUAAGAACACUAUGACACAACUGGAGAAACUGGUUAUUUUACCAAGGCUUAGGCUGGAAUGGUGUGCUUUCCUUUAAAGAAUCAAACUUGACUUAUGGAGCCAAUAAAAGCCUCUUGGGAAAACUGGCCUCAUACAUGUCUACACAGUCCCUGUAUAGGGUUCCUGACCUGUGAUAUAUUAUAAAACAAGAAAUUUAGUUCCAAUGUAUCCAAGCUGUCCCUUCGGAAGGUGAUCAGAAGAGAGAAAUGAGUUUGGAAAAGAAAAGGAAUAGCUGAACAAGAGCAAGUGAUUUCAGAAAUCUAAACCCUGAGAAAACAUGGGUAACAGAGAAGAACUUCUGCUGUGAUAUCUACUUCUGCAGGGAGUAGAGAAACAGAAGUAGAAGGUAAAUCUGAGAUGAGCACAGAGAUAUCAAGUGAAUUGCCCAAGGUCACCAACUAGUAAGCAGUGAAGCCAGCAUUUGGUACUUUGGUAGCUCUGACUCGGCAGGCUGUUCUACCCCUCUUUGGGAAAAGCGUCGCAAAUGAGCACACAGCUUCAGGGUGAAUUCUUACAGCAAAGAAAAGGAAAUGGGAUAGCACAGCCCUGCUAUGUCAGAAGAACCAACAUCAGACAUCAGUGGAUUCUCAUAGCAACAUCUCCCCACUGCUUCCUCUUGACACACAGGAAAAAUGUUCCAGAAUCAACUGGGAAGACUGGCAUUUCAUUUAUAAAUGUAAUUCCCAGGCUGGGUCGGUAACUCCUCCAAUCUUUCCAAUUACGUUCAUUUCAGAUAUAGGGGACAGAAAUGCUCCAGAAAAGAACUAGACCAUAUUUGGAGGAGGAGAGAAGGAGUACACCCUUCAUCUGUGUUGUGAACUAUGUGGAGGAGAGUAGUAUGUUACAGUACAGAGAGUCUUGGGGAGGCCAUGUGCAUGUGUCUUCAGGCCUCCACCUCCUUUCAACUUGAGGAGCUCUGCUUUUCCUUCUAUUUUAGAGGGGUUACCCAAAAUCUCAUCUGAAAUCUGGGUUCCAUGGCUAAAGAAGUUUAAAAACUGAUAGUGCCAUGACAAAGCCCUGGAUCAGAAGUCACAAAACAAGAAUCCAAGAAUCUCUCUCUCAGUUUGGCCACAAACAAGUCAUGAUUAAUCCUGGGCCAACUACUUCCUUGGGAAACACCACCAUCUCUCAGUCAGCAAAGACAGAACCAGAGAGAGAGACUCUGCAAGUUCAGGAAGAAAGGUUCCAACUACUUUUACUCUCCGUUGCAUCUCCUAAUGUCACCACUUCCUCAGAGCAGGGUUUAGUCACUACUACAAAACAUUGCUCAGGAACUGCAGAGCCACUAGCCUGGCAUGUGGUGACACAUUCCCAACACAAUUCUCUAACAUUCUGAUUUCCCUUGCAAAGAUAAAUUCAAGCGAACUUAGAACUCUUAAAGAUCAGAUUGAGAUUGAAUGCCAUUGGCUUUCUCCCCAUACCUAUGCUCCUACACAUCUCUUCAGCCCAGCACAGGGUUUUAAAAGCUCACUGCUUAACACAGGGCUAUCUCCUCUGCUGGUUAUGAGCUGCAAGGAUAGAGUCCAUGUCCUGUUUGUGUUGGUGUUCCUGGCCACUAGCCAAGAACCUGCAGCCCAGCCCUAGAAUAGCAGUUGAAUGAAUGUGGCAGCCCACACACUCAAAGACACCAGAAUUAUCUUACCCUUUCCCAGAGAGCUUCAGGUACCUUUCUUUUCCUAAAUGAGUCACUAAUGUGUCUGUAUAAAUAUGGUUUCCAUAUAUGUCACAGAGCCCAAACAUUUCAUCUGACUUACUGUGGUUUACUUUUUGUGACUGCAUUUUUAUUAUAUCUUAUAUAAAAAGGGGGAUAUAACAGAAGGAAAAAACAGUAAAGCAAAAACCCAUAUCUAGCUUCAGAGCAUUACAUAUCCACUGGAAGCCCUAAAGCAAUGCUCCAUGAUCGCAUGGCCUUUCCGCUGCAUAACCCUGAGGUCAUUUUUUGAUACAUAAUUCUCAAAGUAUGCAGUGCUGAAAGACCUUGAAGAGCUUUCUUAAAUGAUGUUAUGGUUAAAAUUUCUAUGAUUGCAGUCCUUGAAAUCAUAAAAGAAUAAAUACAUCCUUGG
ensembl:lncRNA CYP2U1-AS1 CYP2U1 and SGMS2 antisense RNA 1